rnacentral:rRNA from 1 species
UCGAGCGAACAGAUGAGGAGCUUGCUCCUCUGACGUUAGCGGCGGACGGGUGAGUAACACGUGGAUAACCUACCUAUAAGACUGGGAUAACUUCGGGAAACCGGAGCUAAUACCGGAUAAUAUAUUGAACCGCAUGGUUCAAUAGUGAAAGACGGUUUUGCUGUCACUUAUAGAUGGAUCCGCGCCGCAUUAGCUAGUUGGUAAGGUAGCGGCUUACCAAGGCAACGAUGCGUAGCCGACCUGAGAGGGUGAUCGGCCACACUGGAACUGAGACACGGUCCAGACUCCUACGGGAGGCAGCAGUAGGGAAUCUUCCGCAAUGGGCGGAAGCCUGACGGAGCAACGCCGCGUGAGUGAUGAAGGUCUUCGGAUCGUAAAACUCUGUUAUUAGGGAAGAACAAAUGUGUAAGUAACUAUGCACGUCUUGACGGUACCUAAUCAGAAAGCCACGGCUAACUACGUGCCAGCAGCCGCGGUAAUACGUAGGUGGCAAGCGUUAUCCGGAAUUAUUGGGCGUAAAGCGCGCGUAGGCGGUUUUUUAAGUCUGAUGUGAAAGCCCACGGCUCAACCGUGGAGGGUCAUUGGAAACUGGAAAACUUGAGUGCAGAAGAGGAAAGUGGAAUUCCAUGUGUAGCGGUGAAAUGCGCAGAGAUAUGGAGGAACACCAGUGGCGAAGGCGACUUUCUGGUCUGUAACUGACGCUGAUGUGCGA